rnacentral:rRNA from 1 species
AGCGAAGUUUUUCUGGUGCUUGCACUAGAAAAACUUAGCGGCGAACGGGUGAGUAACACGUAAAGAACCUGCCUCAUAGACGGGGACAACUAUUGGAAACGAUAGCUAAUACCGGAUAACAGCAUAAAUCGCAUGAUAUAUGUUUAAAAGUUGGUUUCGGCUAACACUAUGAGAUGGCUUUGCGGUGCAUUAGCUAGUUGGUGGGGUAAAGGCCUACCAAGGCGACGAUGCAUAGCCGACCUGAGAGGGUGAUCGGCCACACUGGGACUGAGACACGGCCCAGACUCCUACGGGAGGCAGCAGUAGGGAAUCUUCCGCAAUGGGCGAAAGCCUGACGGAGCAACGCCGCGUGAGUGAAGAAGGAUUUCGGUUCGUAAAGCUCUGUUGUUAGGGAAGAAUGAUUGUAUAGUAACUAUAUACAGUAGAGACGGUACCUAACCAGAAAGCCACGGCUAACUACGUGCCAGCAGCCGCGGUAAUACGUAGGUGGCAAGCGUUGUCCGGAAUUAUUGGGCGUGAAGCGCGCGCAGGUGGUUUAAUAAGUCUGAUGUGAAAGCCCACGGCUCAACCGUGGAGGGUCAUUGGAAACUGUUAAACUUGAGUGCAGGAGAGAAAAGUGGAAUUCCUAGUGUAGCGGUGAAAUGCGUAGAGAUUAGGAGGAACACCAGUGGCG